UACAGAGGGGGCAAGCGUUGUUCGGAAUUACUGGGCGUAAAGCGUGCGUAGGUGGUUCGUUAAGUCUGAUGUGAAAGCCCUGGGCUCAACCUGGGAAUGGCAUUGGAUACUGGCGACCUAGAGUGCGGUAGAGGGGUGUGGAAUUCCCGGUGUAGCAGUGAAAUGCGUAGAUAUCGGGAGGAACAUCUGUGGCGAAGGCGACACCCUGGACCAGCACUGACACUGAGGCACGAAAGCGUGGGGAGCAAACAGG
rnacentral:rRNA from 1 species